rnacentral:rRNA from 1 species
GACGAACGCUGGCGGCGUGCUUAACACAUGCAAGUCGAACGGAAAGGCCCUGCUUGCAGGGUACUCGAGUGGCGAACGGGUGAGUAACACGUGGGUGAUCUGCCCUGCACUUCGGGAUAAGCCUGGGAAACUGGGUCUAAUACCGGAUAGGAGCCAUUUUUAGUGUGAUGGUUGGAAAGUUUUUUCGGUGUAGGAUGAGCUCGCGGCCUAUCAGCUUGUUGGUGGGGUAAUGGCCUACCAAGGCGGCGACGGGUAGCCGGCCUGAGAGGGUGGACGGCCACACUGAGACUGAGAGACGGCCCAGACUCCUACGGGAGGCAGCAGUGGGGAAUAUUGCACAAUGAGCGCAAGCCUGAUGCAGCGACGCCGCGUGGGGGAUGACGGCCUUCGGGUUGUAAACUCCUUUCGCUAGGGACGAAGCUUUUUGUGACGGUACCUAGAUAAGAAGCACCGGCUAACUACGUG